rnacentral:sRNA from 1 species
GAGAAGGGAGGUGACCACCAGGACUGCUGGACUAAGACAACGUGACCAGACAAAGAAGAGCCCAACGGGGCCACUGGACCGAGAGGCCCUUUUGCAGUACUUGGAGCAACAGGCACUAGAAGUCAAAGAGCGUGAUGACUUGGUGCCCUUCACAGGCGAGAAGAAGGGGAAACCCUAUAUUCAGCCCAAGAGGGAAAUCCCAGCGGAGGAGCAGAUCACCCUGGAGCCUGAGCUGGAGGAGGCACUGGCACAUGCUACAGAUGCUGAAAUGUGUGACAUUGCAGCAAUUCUGGACAUGUACACACUGAUGAGCAACAAGCAAUACUAUGAUGCCCUCUGCAGUGGAGAAAUCUGCAACACUGAAGGCAUUAGUAGUGUGGUACAGCCUGACAAGUAUAAGCCAGUGCCGGAUGAACCCCCAAAUCCCACAAACAUUGAGGAGAUACUAAAGAGGGUCCGAAGCAAUGACAAGGAGCUGGAGGAGGUGAACCUGAAUAAUAUACAGGACAUCCCAAUACCCAUGCUAAGUGAGCUGUGUGAGGCAAUGAAGGCAAAUACCUAUGUGCGGAGCUUCAGUCUGGUAGCCACGAGGAGUGGUGACCCCAUCGCCAAU